rfam:Cavia porcellus supercont2_5 genomic scaffold, whole genome shotgun sequence.
UGGUGCCCCAAUGUGGGACUCGGUAAUGGGGGACUUCGUGAGGGACACUGUUCAUGGGUCCAAAGUAAAAAAAAAAAAAAAAAAAAAAAAAAAGAAAAUAGAGGACCUAGUGACGUGGGAGCCUGCCACACUGCUGAACCUUGGUAAGUGUACAGUGAUUAUGGGACAAGAAAUUAGCCAGCAUGAGAUUUUUAUUAAAAUUUAAAAAAGGGUUUAAAGAUGCAAAGAGUAAAGGAAAAAAUUAAGCAGUUGUCCACUAGGGCUUAAUAAACUUUUGUCUUGGGAGCAAAGCGGCCUGGU